GACGAACGCUGGCGGCGUGCUUAACACAUGCCAGUUGAACGGAAAGGCCCUGCUUUUGUGGGGUGCUCGAGUGGCGAACGGGUGAGUAACACGUGAGUAACCUGCCCUUGACUUUGGGAUAACUUCAGGAAACUGGGGCUAAUACCGGAUAGGAGCUCCUGCUGCAUGGUGGGGGUUGGAAAGUUUCGGCGGUUGGGGAUGGACUCGCGGCUUAUCAGCUUGUUGGUGGGGUAGUGGCUUACCAAGGCUUUGACGGGUAGCCGGCCUGAGAGGGUGACCGGCCACAUUGGGACUGAGAUACGGCCCAGACUCCUACGGGAGGCAGCAGUGGGGAAUAUUGCACAAUGGGCGGAAGCCUGAUGCAGCAACGCCGCGUGCGGGAUGACGGCCUUCGGGUUGUAAACCGCUUUCGCCUGUGACGAAGCGUGAGUGACGGUAAUGGGUAAAGAAGCACCGGCUAACUACGUG
rnacentral:rRNA from 1 species